rnacentral:lncRNA from 1 species
UUUCAGGCGCUGCUUGUUUCUUUGUGAAACAUGUGCAGACAGGGAUGUGUAUUAAUGACACAAGAAUACUACAGGCGGACGAGGCUUGGGGAAACUUAUCUUAUGUGGAACUUUCCAACAACUGUCUGGAUCCAGCUGCUCAGUUUCGGUUUCUUGAUAAUAGUGCCAUGUUCAAUUUGAAAAGAAAGGGUUGUUUCGAGGGAACAGAAAGGGCCUAUGGUCAUGAUUUUGAACCUCCUAUGUUGUAUUUGCUCGUUGCUACAGAUCCUUCAGCUAAUUGUCGUGAUCGGGACCAUGCUAUAACCCAGACCUCU